rnacentral:lncRNA from 1 species
CCAGAGCAGCGUCUGCUAGUUACCUUUCACCUACUUCGCUGCGACUCGCCGCGCGGGGUAACUCGAGGUCAGACUCGGGGCCCCGCGCGCUUGCGCGCCGCCCGCUGCCCGCCGCCCGCCGCGGCUGGGAGUCCGGAGGUUUCAUCUUGUGAUGGUUUCGGUUCGGCUCUCAAAUGGAGGAUGGCUACGUUGAAGACAGCUGGGGCUGCCGCACGCCUCGGGGUUACUGUCGGGCACCCGGCGGGCGGGGCCGGCGCUGGGGCGGGGGAGGGCUUCCUCGCCCUCAGAAACCACAUUCGCAGAAACGUUUUUAACUGGCAAGGUUUCGAGUUCCCAACCACAGCACCCUCAGUGAUGGUUUUCAGAAGACCUUGUUAGCUCCUCUCCUCCAGAGACCCAUCCUUCGCUGACAUCCCACCGAUUUGGGAGCAGGAAAAAACAGACUCCUGCAAAAUACCUCUUCUUCCAGUGCCCUGUACCCCUCUCUACUUACUUCGAGUCCCUGCAGUCCAGCAACAACCCCAAACGAGUGAAGGGAGGAGACAUAGGUUUGUCCAGGCUCUGCCACCGACGGGUGAUUUGGGAUGAGUCCUUCUCCAGUAUCAUUAUCUUCAACUGUAAAACAUGAGGGUUAGUCCGAAUGAUCUCCAAACGCUUCAGCAUUAAAGUUAGGUGAUGAAUCCUAAGAUUUUGCAGUUCUAUAAUGUCACAUCUCCUCCGUUUCAGAGAGGGCCCGCAGGGAAUCUUGUUAAGGAUAACUGCCAUCGAAGUUACAAGUUUGUUCUGUGAUUGAAGAGUUUCAGGUCUUCUAGAUUUCUUUGGCAUGACGCAUAACUAUUUCAAGAUACUAACAUUUGGGCAGGGCGUGGUGGCUCAGGCCUGUAGUCCUAACACUUUGGGGGGCCGAGGCGGGCAGAUCACCUGAGGGUAGGAGUUAGAGACCAGUCUGGCCAACAUGGUGAAACCCCGUCUCUACUAAAAAUACAAAAAUUAGCCGGGCGUGGCGGUACAUGCCUGUAAUCCCAGCUACUCAGGAGGCUAAGGCAGAAGAAUCGCUUGAAUCCAGGAGGCGGAGGUUGCAGUGAGCUGAGAUCACGCCACUGCACCCCAGCCUGGGCAACAGAGGGAGACUCCUUCUGAAAAAAAAAAAAAAAAAAAGAUACUAACAUUUAAGGUUAAGAAUGUAGGUCAUUUCCCCAGAGGACUAACAGACUCGAGGGCACACACCCCAAAUUUUAUUUCUUUGACUCUGUCAUUGCCCCCAGAACAGUAUAUAAUGUAGCCAAUUGUUGUGGAUUUAUUGUUAAUGAAUAAAAUAAAAUUUGUGACUAGCAGGGAUAGGGGUCCUAUGCUGUCAUUUUAAUAUGAAUAGAGUUUUUAAAAACUCACAGAUAAAUGUAUCACAUGAGAAAAAAAUACAAAGGCUGAACAUAGAGCAGCAAUGUUAAUCUGAUAAAUCGUAAAUAAGUGUAUACAUUUUAAUAGAGAUUAGUACAAAGACCUGUAAUUAGUUUUUAAAAAAACUACCAACAUCAUUACAAGGACAAUGGAAAUAAUGUACCAAUAAAUAUGGAGCUUCCUUAUAUUUCUACCUUA